rnacentral:rRNA from 1 species
GUCUAUGGCCAUGCCACCCUGAACAAGCCCGAUAUCUGAUCUCAGAAGCUAACCAGGGUCAGGUCUGGUUAGUGCUUGGGUGGGAGACCACCUAGGAAGACUAGGUGCUAGAGUUA